rnacentral:rRNA from 1 species
GACGAACGCUGGCGGCGUGCUUAACACAUGCAAGUCGUACGGUAAGGCCCUUUCGGGGGUACACGAGUGGCGAACGGGUGAGUAACACGUGAGUAACCUGCCCACAACUUUUGGAUAACGCUAGGAACCUGGUGCUAAUACUGGAUAUGUGCUCCUGCUGCAUGGUGGGGGUUGGAAAGCUCCGGCGGUUUUGGAUGGACUCGCGGCCUAUCAGCUUGUUGGUGGGGUAGUGGCCUACAAAGCCGGCGACGGGUAGCCGGCCUGCGAGGGUGACCGGCCACAUUGGGACUGAGAGACGGCCCAGACUCCUACGUGAGGCAGCAGUGGGGAAUAUUGCACAAUGGGCGCAAGCCUGAUGCAGCAACGCCGCGGGCGGGAUGACGGCCUUCGGGUUGUAAACCGCUUUCAGCAGAGACGAAGCUUUUUGGGACGGUACCUGCAGAAGAAGCACCGGCUAACUACGU